AUUUAGCCCUGAUUGAAGCAUUUGUUUGAGCUCUUUUUUAUUUUUUUUCUAAAUAAAAAAAGCGAGUGCGAAAAGCAGGAAAUAGC
rnacentral:sRNA from 1 species